rnacentral:rRNA from 1 species
AGUGAACGCUGGCGGCGUGCCUAAUACAUGCAAGUCGAACGGAGUGGCGCACGGGUGAGUAAAGUAUAGCUAAUCUGCCCUAUACUAGAGGACAACAGUUGGAAACGACUGCUAAUACUCUAUAGUCUAGGAUGAGGCUAUAUUGUAUCAGAUAGUUGGUGAGGUAAUGGAUCAUCAAUGCUAUGACGCAUAACUGGUCUGAGAGGAUGAUCAGUCACACUGAACUGAGACACGGUCCGGACUCCUACGGGAGGGAGCAGUAGGGAGUAUUGCCCAAUCGGCGAAACCCUGAAGGAGUAUCGGCGCGUGGAGCAUGGUACUUUGCGGAGCGCAAACUCCUUUUGUUAGGGAAGCGGUACCUAACGAAUAAGCACCGGCUAACUCCGUGCCAGCAGCCGCGGUAAUAC